CCUACGGGAGGCAGCAGUGAGGAAUAUUGGUCAAUGGGCGAGAGCCUGAACCAGCCAAGUCGCGUGAAGGAUGACGGCCCUACGGGUUGUAAACUUCUUUUGUCAGGGAGCAAUUGGGUCCACGCGUGGGCUUAGCGAGAGUACCUGCAGAAAAAGCAUCGGCUAACUCCGUGCCAGCAGCCGCGGUAAUACGGAGGAUGCGAGCGUUAUCCGGAUUUAUUGGGUUUAAAGGGUGCGUAGGCGGAAUAUUAAGUCAGCGGUAAAAUGUCGGGGCUCAACCCGGUCGUGCCGUUGAAACUGAUGUUCUUGAGUGGGCGAGAAGUAUGCGGAAUGCGUGGUGUAGCGGUGAAAUGCAUAGAUAUCACGCAGAACUCCGAUUGCGAAGGCAGCAUACCGGCGCCCAACUGACGCUGAAGCACGAAAGCGUGGGUAUCGAACAGGAUUAGAUACCCGGGUAGUC
rnacentral:rRNA from 1 species